AAUCGAAUGGGCAACUUAAUUCGCUUUUGUUUCCUAACAAAAGCAUAAGAAAUAAAUUGGAGCUCUUGAAGAAGAGCCUUACAAUCAUGAAUAAUCAUAGCAAAAUAAGAUGAGAAUGCAUAUGAAGUAUUCAAAACUUGGAACACCAGUUGACUAUCUGUUUCCACACAAACUGGUUGAAAACUUAAAGAUUUCAGCCAACUUGAUGCCUCUCUAAAACAAAGCACUUCACCAAUAAGAGGAUCGGUUAAACCAGGCCUUGCAAGCAAUCGACCUGCGCAACAAUAACCGGUAUAGUCCCUUAUUAUCAUUCCUAAGCCAUAAGAACCAUCAAUAAGCAAAGCCACAUCAAUAUUACAUUUGAAUGCUCCUUGCUCCAGUGGCUUCCAACGAGUUUGCAACUCAGAAUCUGGAUGCACAUGAGCUGUAUGGGACGAAAUAUUAACACAAGCUGCAUUCCAUUCACUAUGAAUAGAACGAGCUCGACUUAGAAUCGAGAAAGGUUGUUGAUACUUCUGAUGCCAAACAACCUCAUUCUUG
rnacentral:misc_RNA from 1 species